rnacentral:rRNA from 1 species
AGUGAACGCUGGCGGCGUGCCUAACACAUGCAAGUCGCGCGAGAUUUUACGGAGUAUUGUAAGAUCUAGCGGCAAACGGGUGAGUAACACGUAGGGAACCUUCCUCAAAAUGGGGAAUAUCUCCGAGAAAUCGGAGUCAAUACCGCAUGAAACCACAGUUUGGCAUCAAACAGAGGUCAAAGCAGCAAUGCGUUUUGAGAUGGUCCUGCGGCCUAUCAGCUAGUUGGUUGGGUAAUGGCCUACCAAGGCUAUGACGGGUAUCCGGCCUGAAAGGGUGAACGGACACACUGGAACUGAGACACGGUCCAGACUCCUACGGGAGGCAGCAGUGGGGAAUUUUGGACAAUGGGGGAAACCCUGAUCCAGCGACGCCGCGUGGAGGACGAAGGCCUUCGGGUUGUAAACUCCUUUUAGAGGGGAAGAAAAAAAUGACGGUACCCUCAGAAAAAGCCACG